GCGAGUAUAGUUAAAUUGGUAUAAUCUCUGCCUUCCAAGUUGAGGUUGUCAGUUCGAACCUGGCUACUCGUA
rfam:Leucoagaricus sp. SymC.cos contig33880, whole genome shotgun sequence.